rnacentral:rRNA from 1 species
CCUACGGGCGGCAGCAGUGGGGAAUAUUGGACAAUGGGCGAAAGCCUGAUCCAGCCAUGCCGCGUGUGUGAAGAAGGCCUUCGGGUUGUAAAGCACUUUCAGUGGGGAAGAAAGCCUUGGGGCUAAUACCCUCGAGGAAGGACAUCACCCACAGAAGAAGCACCGGCUAACUCCGUGCCAGCAGCCGCGGUAAUACGGAGGGUGCGAGCGUUAAUCGGAAUUACUGGGCGUAAAGCGCGCGUAGGCGGUCUGAUAAGCCGGUUGUGAAAGCCCCGGGCUCAACCUGGGAACGGCAUCCGGAACCGUCAGGCUAGAGUGCAGGAGAGGAAGGUAGAAUUCCCGGUGUAGCGGUGAAAUGCGUAGAGAUCGGGAGGAAUACCAGUGGCGAAGGCGGCCUUCUGGACUGACACUGACGCUGAGGUGCGAAAGCGUGGGUAGCAAACAGGAUUAGAUACCCUGGUAGUC